rnacentral:lncRNA from 1 species
GUGAUUGUGGUCAGGCAGAGCUUUUUUUGACACUGAAUGCUUGGGGUCAAAAUGAGAUUUUUACUGAGAAGACAGACUACUGCUAGGUGAGAGAAGACAGACUGCUAAGUGCUUGAAUUUAAGACGACACACUGAACUUGAAGCUCCCUCCCAGAGCAAGUUGAGCCAGUUAUACAUUUUUCUGCUGUUCUAG